ACGGCUCAGUAACACGUGGCUAAUCUGCCCUUGGGACUGGAACACCCCCGGGAAACUGGGGCUAAUUCUCGAUAGGUAAAGAACUCUGGAAUGAGUCUUUGCUUAAAAGACGUUUACGUUAUGCUCGUAGACGCCACCCAAGGAUGAGGCCGCGACCGAUCAGGUUGUUGGUGAGGUAAUGGCUCACCAAGCCUUUUACCGGUGCGGGCCGUGAGAGCGGGAGCCCGGAGAUGGGCACUGAGACAAGGGCCCAGGCCCUACGGGGCGCAGCAGUCGCGAAAACUUUGCAAUACACGAAAGUGUGACAGGGCUAUCCCGAGUGCCAUCCGCUGAGGAAGGCUUUUACCCAGUCUAGAACGCUGGGGGAAUAAGGAGAGGGCAAGUCUGGUGUCAGCCGCCGCGGUAAUACCAGCUCUCCGAGUGGUGUGGAUGUUUAUUGGGCCUAAAGCAUCCGUAGCUGGCUGAGUUAGUCCCUUGUUAAAUCCACCGAAUUAAUCGUUGGAUUGCGGGGGAUACUGCUCGGCUAGGGGACGAGAGAGGCAGACGGUAUUUCCGGGGUAGGGGUGAAAUCCUAUAAUCCCGGGAAGACCACCAGUGGCGAAGGCUGUCUGCUAGAACGCGCCCGACGGUGAGGGAUGAAAGCUGGGGGAGCGAACCGGAUUAGAUACCCGGGUAGUCCCAGCUGUAAACGAUGCAGACUAGGUGUUUGAACGGCCACGUGCCGUUCUAGUGCCGCAGGGAAGCUGUUAAGUCUGCCGCCUGGGGAGUACGAUCGCAAGAUUGAAACUUAAAGGAAUUGGCGGGGGAGCAC
rnacentral:rRNA from 1 species